rnacentral:rRNA from 1 species
CAGCCGUAAACUAUGCGCGUUAGGUGUACUGGUGACCACGAGUCACCGGGGUGCCGAAGGGAAACCGUGAAACGUGCCGCCUGGGAAGUACGGUCGCAAGGCUGAAACUUAAAGGAAUUGGCGGGGAGCACCACAACGGGUGGAGCCUGCGGGUUUAAUUUGGACUCAACACCGGAAAUCUCACCGGAUAGGACAGACAUAUGAUAGUCGGACUGAAGACUCUACUUGAUGAUCUGAGAGGAGGUGCAUGGCGUAGACGUCU